AGGAGUUAUUGCAUAGAAAAUCAUAAAAUAGUUCAUCAUAUAAUUGUCAUGUUGCUGUAUAUGAUAAUCAUCCUGUGGCUAAUUUUUGGCUCUCAAUCGAGCUGGUGGUAAGUCUGGAAAUAAAGGUGCUGAAGCAGCGCUGACAGCUGCCUUCUCUCAAUAUGAUUUAGUAGAAUACAGCUGAUAAUAAUGCUUGGAAAGGGACUUCUUACUUAAGCAGUGAGGUAUCAAUCAUCCAAAAUGAAUUACUUUUGGAGUUAAAAAUGGGAGUUAGAAGGCAAAUAAGGGGUUGAACUCCAUAACGACCAUUGGUGGGUCUCUGUGAUAUUACUGGUUUGCCAAC